rnacentral:rRNA from 1 species
GACGAACGCUGGCGGCGUGCUUAACACAUGCAAGUCGAACGAAGUGGCGAACGGGUGAGUAACGCGUAAUCAACCUGCCCUUCAGAGGGGGAAAACAGUUGGAAACGACUGCUAAUACCGCAAACUGAAGGGGGGGAUUGCGUCGGAUUUGCUAGUUGGAGGGGUAAAGGCCCACCAGGGCGAUGAUCAGUAGGCUGGCUGCGGGGAUGAACGGCAAAAAUGGGACUGAGACACGGCCCAGAAUCCUACGGGAGGCAGCAGUGGGGAAUCUUCCGAAAUGGAGGGAAGUCUGACGGAGCAACGGCGCGGGAGUGAAGACGGCCUUCGGGUUGUAAAGCUCUUUUAAUCGGGACGCGGUACCGGAAGAGAAAGCCACGGCUAACUACGUGCCAGCAGCCGCGGUAAUAC